CGGGUUGCUGCAGCAGUGGGGAAUAUUGCACAAUGGGCGCAAGCCUGAUGCAGCCAUGCCGCGUGUAUGAAGAAGGCCUUCGGGUUGUAAAGUACUUUCAGCGGGGAGGAAGGGAGUAAAGUUAAUACCUUUGCUCAUUGACGUUACCCGCAGAAGAAGCACCGGCUAACUCCGUGCCAGCAGCCGCGGUAAUACGGAGGGUGUAAGCGUUAAUCGGAAUUACUGGGCGUAAAGCGCACGCAGGCGGUUUGUUAAGUCAGAUGUGAAAUCCCCGGGCUCAACCUGGGAACUGCAUCUGAUACUGGCAAGCUUGAGUCUCGUAGAGGGGGGUAGAAUUCCAGGUGUAGCGGUGAAAUGCGUAGAGAUCUGGAGGAAUACCGGUGGCGAAGGCGGCCCCCUGGACGAAGACUGACGCUCAGGUGCGAAAGCGUGGGGAGCAAACAGGAUUAGAUACCCCUGUAGUC
rnacentral:rRNA from 1 species